CUGAUAUUAAUAUAUUAUAAUACUACUAUAAAGACUUAUAGUGUAUUACUAUAAAAGCUAUUAAAGUGUAAGUCUAAAGAUAUUACAGUUAAUAUAAGUUAUAAUAUUAUCAUAAGUGGUUUUAGUAGUUUUACUGGUGUUAUUAAAUUACAUAUUUCUUGUACAAUGUCUAAACGAGACUUACAAUUUACAAGACACUAAAUUGGAUGGUAAGUUUUUCACAAACUUUACAUACAAAAUCGCCAAAUAAAUGUGGUUACAAUUUUCCAAUGAAUUACCUGAAUACAUUGCCUGUCACAAAAAAGAACUAAAUUCAUUCCUAUGAAUGGAAAAAGGUAUGGCAAGAUAUAAGAACCACUAUCAAAAUAAAAGAUCCUGCUAUUAAAAACAUACUCACUGGACAGGAGUUGGAUGUCCGUGUGAUAUUACCGGUGUUCAGUAGUAACACAUUAAUGUAACAACGUAACCUUAUUUAUAAUGUUUCUAAAGAAAGAUCUUCAGCUGUUCAAGAAGUUACAAGCGGUUACAAGCAAAUAAUUAUGUUGCAAAAUUUAUAGCCGACCACACUGAUAUUAAGAUAGAAAUUAACUCAGCAUAUUAUUUUGAAAAGUUAAAGCUAAUGUAUGAUAACUAUGGUCUCUUAAGCAGCAUAAACAUAUUGCUGAAGUCAUUCAUUAAAACAAGAAGCGAUCAAUAAAAUUCAUUAUAUUUAAAGUUUUUAAUUUAAUUGGUACGUCCGAGUUAUCUCGACUACUUAAAUGUUUCCAAGACUACCUUAACAUUUCCAAGAUUAUUUCAUAUAACCUGAUAAUAUACUUAACUUUGAUCGGCUAAGGUUUUAAAGUGGCUAAACAAAAACCAGAGGGGAACAGUUCACCAUCUUCUAGACUCAUACCUGACUUAGCUUGUUUGAUCCAUUUUCAAAGAUUUGUAAUUAAAGUGUGCUUUCCUCCACAAAAAAAUUAUCAACUUUUAUUUAAAUUAUUUAAUUUUUGUUUUAAAUUUAAAAAUAUUUCUUAUACUUUUAAUAAA